UACAGAGGUCCCAAGCGUUGUUCGGAUUCACUGGGCGUAAAGGGUGCGUAGGCGGUCGGGUAAGUCUGACGUGAAAUCUCCAAGCCUAACUUGGAACUGCGUUGGAUACUGAUCCGGCUUGAGGAAUGGAGGGGAGACUGGAAUACUUGGUGUAGCAGUGAAAUGCGUAGAUAUCAAGUGGAACACCAGUGGCGAAGGCGAGUCUCUGGACAUUUCCUGACGCUGAGGCACGAAAGCCAGGGGAGCAAACGGG
rnacentral:rRNA from 1 species